UACGGAGGGAGCUAGCGUUGUUCGGAUAUACUGGGCGUAAAGCGCACGUAGGCGGCGCCGUAAGUCAGGGGUGAAAUCCCGGAGCUCAACUCCGGAACUGCCCUUGAAACUGCAGUGCUAGAAUCUUGGAGAGGCGAGUGGAAUUCCGAGUGUAGAGGUGAAAUUCGUAGAUAUUCGGAAGAACACAGUGGCGAAGGCGACUCGCUGGACAAGUAUUGACGCUGAGGUGCGAAAGCGUGGGGAGCAAACAGG
rnacentral:rRNA from 1 species